GACGUGUUGGCUAAGUGGUAAAGCGUUUGGCUUCCGAUCCAAGUGGUCAGAGGUUCGAAUCUCAUUGAAGUCA
rnacentral:tRNA from 1 species